AGAGUUUGAUCCUGGCUCAGAACGAACGCUGGCGGCAGGCCUAACACAUGCAAGUCGAGCGCCCAGCAAUGGGAGCGGCGGACGGGUGAGUAACACGUGGGAAUUUUCCUCAAGGUACGGAACAACUCAGGGAAACUUGGGCUAAUACCGUAUGAUGCAGAGAUGCCAAAGAUUUAUCGCCUUGGGAUAAGCCCGCGUCAGAUUAGGUAGUUGGUGAGGUAACGGCUCACCAAGCCUGUGAUCUGUAGCUGGUCUGAGAGGACGAUCAGCCACAUUGGGACUGAGACACGGCCCAAACUCCUACGGGAGGCAGCAGUGGGGAAUCUUGCGCAAUGGGCGAAAGCCUGACGCAGCCAUGCCGCGUGAAUGAUGAAGGUCUUAGGAUUGUAAAGUUCUUUCGCCUGUGACGAUGAUGACGGUAACAGGAGAAGAAGCCCCGGCUAACUUCGUGCCAGCAGCCGCGGUAAUACGAAGGGGGCUAGCGUUGUUCGGAAUUACUGGGCGUAAAGCGCGCGUAGGCGGCUUUGCAAGCCAGAGGUGAAAUGCCUGAGCUCAACUUAGGAAUUGCCUUUGGGACUGCGAGGCUUCGAGGACUGGAGAGGUGAGUGGAAUUCCCAGUGUAGAGGUGAAAUUCGUAGAUAUUGGGAAGAACACCAGUGGCGAAGGCGGCUCACUGGCCAGUUUCUGACGCUAAAGUGCGAAAGCGUGGGGAUCAAACAGGAUUAGAUACCCUAGUAGUCC
rnacentral:rRNA from 1 species